GAUGAACGCUAGCUACAGGCUUAACACAUGCAAGUCGAGGGGCAUCGCGGGAGUUGCUUGCAACUUCUGGCGGCGACCGGCGCACGGGUGAGUAACGCGUAUCCAACCUGCCCUUUACUACGGUAUAGCCCAGCGAAAGUUGGAUUAAUCCCGUAUGUUGUCGCGCGAUGGCAUCUGAUCGCGACGAAAGGUUCACCGGUAGAGGAUGGGGAUGCGUCCGAUUAGGUAGUCGGCGGGUUGACAGCCCACCGAGCCGACGAUCGGGAGGGGUUCUGGGAGGAAGGUCCCCCACGUUGGAACUGAGACACGGACCAAACUCCGACGGGGGGCAGCAGUGAGGAAUAUGGGUCAAUGGGCGCAGGACUGAACCGGACAAGUAGCGUGAGGGAAGACGGCCCUACGGGUUGUAAACCUCUUUUUCACGGGGAUAAAGUGUGCCACGUGUGGCAUAUUGCAGGUACCGUGGGAAUAAGGACCGGCUAAUUCCGUGCCAGCCGCCGCGGUAACAC
rnacentral:rRNA from 1 species